GCGGUAGUGGUGGAAUCGGCAGACACGUAGUCUUGAGGGGGCUAUGUCAAUAGACGUAAGGGUUCAAGUCCCUUCUACCGCA
rnacentral:tRNA from 1 species